NNNUCCGGAUUGCCGGCCUUGCCGAUGCCGGCGAUGCGGCCGCCCUUGAUGGCGAUGUCGGCCUUGACGAUUCCCCAGUGGUCGACGAUCAGCGCAUUGGUGAUCACCGUGUCGGCGACUUCGGCAGCCGACUUCUGGCCUUGCCCCAUGCCGUCUCGGAU
rnacentral:ncRNA from 1 species